rnacentral:rRNA from 1 species
UACGUAGGUGGCAAGCGUUAUCCGGAUUUAUUGGGUGUAAAGGGCGUGUAGGCGGGAGCGCAAGUCAGAUGUGAAAACUCAGGGCUCAACCCUGAGCCUGCAUUUGAAACUGUGUUUCUUGAGUGCUGGAGAGGCAAUCGGAAUUCCGUGUGUAGCGGUGAAAUGCGUAGAUAUACGGAGGAACACCAGUGGCGAAGGCGGACUGCUGGACAGUAACUGACGCUGAGGCGCGAAAGCGUGGGGAGCAAACAGG